UGAAUACGAGAUGCCACGGCGUCGAAGCAGUCUAUGUCAUACUUCCAAGAAAAGCUUGCACUGUCAUAAACAAAUAAUGCCUGUACCAUAACCGACACAGGUGGGUAGGUAGAGUAUACUAAGGGGCGCGAGAUAACUCUCUCUAAGGAACUCGGCAAAAUGACUCCGUAACUUCGGGAGAAGGAGUGCCUUAUUUAUAAGGUUGCAAUAACAAGACCCAAGCAACUGUUUAUCAAAAACACAGGUCUCCGCUAAGUCGUAAGACGAUGUAUGGGGGCUGACGCCUGCCCAGUGCCAGAAGGUUAAAGAAGUUGGUUAGCAUUAGCGAAGCUGACGACUGAAGCCCUGGUGAACGGCGGCCGUAACGAUAACGGUCCUAAGGUAGCGAAAUUCCUUGUCGGGUAAGUUCCGACCCGCACGAAAGGCGUAAUGAUUUGGGUACUGUCUCAGAGAGGGACUCGGUGAAAUAGACUUGUCUGUGAAGAUGCGGACUACCUGCACCUGGACAGAAAGACCCUAUGAAGCUUUACUGUAACCUGAAAUUGAAAUUGGACUUUAUUUGCGCAGUAUAGGUGGGAGGCUUUGAAGAUAUUCUUGCGGGAAUGUUGGAGCCAUCAGUGAGAUACCACUCUUGUAAUGUUAGAUUUCUAACUUUGUAUCAUUAUCUGGUCAAAGAACAGUUUCAGGCGGGCAGUUUGACUGGGGCGGUCGCCUCCUAAACGGUAACGGAGGCGCACAAAGGUUUCCUCUGAACGGGUAGAAAUCGUAUCUAGAGUGUAAAGGCAUAAGGAAGCUUGACUGUGAGACCUACAAGUCGAGCAGGGACGAAAGUCGGUCUUAGUGAUCUGACGGUGCUGAGUGGAAAGGCCGUCACUCAACGGAUAAAAGUUACUCUAAGGAUAACAGGCUGAUCUCCCCCAAGAGUUCACAUCGACGGGGAGGUUUGGCACCUCGAUGUCGGCUCAUCGCAUCCUGGGGCGGUAGUACGUCCCAAGGGUUGGGCUGUUCGCCCAUGAAAGCGGUACGCGAGCUGGGUUCAGAACGUCGUGAGACAGUUCGGUCCAUAUCCGGUGUAGGCGUUAGAAUAUUGAGAGGAGCCUUCUCUAGUACGAGAGGACCGAGAAGGACACACCUCUGGUGUACCAGUUAUCGUGCCAACGGUAAACGCUGGGUAGCUAUGUGUGGAGCGGAUAACCGCUGAAAGCAUCUAAGUGGGAAGCCCACCUCAAGAUAAGUAUUCUCACC
rnacentral:rRNA from 1 species